UAUUUGAAUUAUACAUAAGAGGGCUGCAACUAUUUUCUUAUGCUUUUUAUGUUUCGAAUCCUCCUUCACGAAAUGAUGUCGCUCGAACAAAUGUCGUAUAGUUUUGAUAAGUCUACUUCUAGUAAGGGUAACCUCUCACACUCAAUUCCUCACGUAUAAACUAAGAUUCCAUGGCUUAUAAAGAAGUAUAGCCUAUGUUAAAUGUGGUUCUGCUAAACCCUAUCCACGGACGAUUUUCAAAUAAAUCGCAUAUGUCG
rnacentral:lncRNA from 1 species